rnacentral:other from 1 species
AGAGUCCUGAAAUGUACGUUGUGUUACCUGAAGUUUUGACCGAACAUUAUUUAUUCGGGAGUCCAGAGUUUUUUGAUUGCGUAAAUGCCCCACCCUUUUACGGGUAAGGGGACUUACAAUACCGGAAAUAGGACACCCACCUGCUGAAUGCGGGAUCAAAACUAAGGAUCUAGAAGCAACGGCACCAUUGGGACUCUU